rnacentral:tRNA from 1 species
GGAGGAUUAGCUCAGUUGGGAGAGCGUCUGCCUUACAAGCAGAGGGUCAUAGGUUCGACCCCUGUAUCCUCCA